rnacentral:rRNA from 1 species
UGAGGAAUAUUGGUCAAUGGGCGAGAGCCUGAACCAGCCAAGUAGCGUGCAGGACGACGGCCCUAUGGGUUGUAAACUGCUUUUAUGCGGGGAUAAAGUGUGGGACGUGUCCCAUAUUGCAGGUACCGCAUGAAUAAGGACCGGCUAAUUCCGUGCCAGCAGCCGCGGUAAUACGGAAGGUCCAGGCGUUAUCCGGAUUUAUUGGGUUUAAAGGGAGCGUAGGCCGUCGUUUAAGCGUGUUGUGAAAUGCCGCGGCUCAACCGUGGCACUGCAGCGCGAACUGGAUGACUUGAGUUCGCGGGAGGUAGGCGGAAUUCGUG